CCUACGGGUGGCAGCAGUGAGGAAUAUUGGUCAAUGGGCGUAAGCCUGAACCAGCCAAGUCGCGUGAGGGAUGAAGGUUCUAUGGAUCUUAAACCUCUUUUACAAGGGAAUAAAGUGCGGGUCGUGUCCCGCUGUGUAUUUACCUUAUGAAUAAGGAUCGGCUAACCCCGCGCCAGCAGCCGCGGUAAUACGGAGGAGCCGAGAGUUAUGCGGAUUUAUUGGGUUUAAAGGGUGCGUAGGCGGCCUGUUAAGUCAGGGGUGAAAGUCCGGGGCUCAACCAUAGAAUUGCCGUUGAAACUGGUAGGCUUGAGUAUGUUUGAGGAUAGUGGAAUGCCUGGUGUAGCGGUGAAAUCCUUAGAUAUCAGGAAGAACAUCAGUGGCGAAGGCAGCCUGC
rnacentral:rRNA from 1 species